AGCCUGACUUUCCUUCUCACAGUUCCACUACAGCCUUUCAAAUGAAUGAGAGAUGCUUUUAACAGACCUUAGCACACAGUGAAAUGCAAACAAGCAGUCAGAUACCAGUUGUUAGAAGAACGUGGCAUGAGGCACCGUGGGCAUUGCAUUUGGAAAGACACAGACACUACAAGAGCAGGAUAAGAGGUUGCCUCAUCCCAUUCCCCAUCAUGGAAGAAAACAUCCACAGAAAAGCCCAUGAGAGAAGGUAAUUUUGCUGCCCUUUGAUGGUUGGAGUGCUACCAGACAAAACUGAGAUGAAGUCAGAAGUAACAACUGCUGUUGGCUCUUCAGUUCUGGGCUGCCUAAAACCAGCUUUCAAAACUUCUAGAAACAUUAUGCUUUGGAAGUGCAGCUGAGAGUGACUAGACUGCACAGAGGAGGAGAAAACUCAUGCAGUGAGACUCUGAAAAAGUUCCUGGGAGUGAUUUUAACUAUGCACUGGAAUUUUAUCAUGGCAGAAUCAUGACUUAAUUGUGGGGCUUAAUACCCUUACCCGAGUCCAAGCCUCUGGAUUUAUUCACUUUAAGUGACUCAACAAGUGAGGUGGUGAGCUUGCAGAAAACAAUCUUCUCUGUCGCUCAGCCAUGAUUCUUUCUCAUAAAGAAAACAUGUAUAUCAAAUGGAGUUGUAAAGUAAAAAUUAUUCUGAAAAUACUUUAUUCAGCACCUGUAUAAGCCUGUAUAUCCAUGUGCAGAAAUGGGUUUUUUAGAUUCCAAAGAAAAUUCUCACUACUGUUUACUCAUAAUAACUAUACAUCAAACCUCCAGCCAAGGGUCAUCCAUGCUUUAUCAAAUUCCAAAUAGCUGUAAUUUUUUAAGCACUCAAGUCCCAUGGAUAUUAGUGAGGUCACAAAGAUGUCUAAGGUGUAUAAGGACAUAAGUGUGAAACAAUGAGAGAAAAUAAGCAUCAGUUAAGAGCUACUUCUGCUUGUGGAGUCUUUUACCAUUCAUAAUGUUGCAGGGCUGUAACCACACACGGUUUUUGAAAUGGUGACUGAUUCUCCAGAGCUGAUCAUCAAAAUCAUACAAAACCACAUUCUUCAAAACAAAGUACUCAUUUUGACACCUAGUUAUGUUGUUUAUAGAUUUUCUGACCAUUUUUCCUUAACCUUUAAAAAUCAGAGGCUAUG